UACGGGGGGGGGCAAGCGUUGUUCGGAAUUACUGGGCGUAAAGCGCACGUAGGCGGAUUGCUAAGUCAGGGGUGAAAUCCUGGAGCUCAACUCCAGAACUGCCUUUGAUACUGGCGACCUUGAGUCCGGGAGAGGUGAGUGGAACUGCGAGUGUAGAGGUGAAAUUCGUAGAUAUUCGCAAGAACACCGGUGGCGAAGGCGGCCACCUGGACGGUCACUGACGCUGAGACGCGAAAGCGUGGGUAGCAAACAGG
rnacentral:rRNA from 1 species